rnacentral:rRNA from 1 species
CCGAAUAACUGGCUGAAAGGUCAGCUAAUACGGAAUGUGCAGCAUCCUCGUGUGGAUGUUGUAAAGGCUAUGACCGCUUUGGGAUGGGGUUGCGUUCCAUCAGCUAGUUGGUGGGGUAAAGGCCCACCAAGGCGACGACGGAUAACCGGCCUGAGAGGGUGGCCGGUCACAGGGGCACUGAGACACGGGUCCCACUCCUACGGGAGGCA